GCAAGGGACCUGACCAACUGAAGAUUUUCUUAUGUACCUGUUGUUGUUCUUGAAUGUUAGUAUUGAGCUAAACUUGUAGGAUUCGUUUCAUUUUUGUAAGUAACGUUUCAAACUCUUGUGUGUAGUGAGGGUAACAACAUUGUUAGUGUUAACUUUGUGUCUUACGAUAAAAGUCUAUAUUAAUCAAUGAGGGUUAGUAUAGUGGGCAAUGGAUGCAUUGCUUAGGCUAAGUAAGUAAUAGGCGUAUUACUUAGUGUUGAUAUUAAGAGUUUAAUCUCAUUGUUGGUUGUAAUCUGUGUUUCACUUUUUGCUUGAGAAGAUUAGUGAAAACAAUUGAAAAUUUUGUGUGGCAGGUCGUGGUUUUACUCCCUUGAGCAAAGAGGUUUCCACGUAAAACUCUUGUGCCUGUUUUACGGUGUUCUAUUCAUUUUCUGUACUUUUAUUCUGUCAGAGGACCUGGUCCUGUGAUCACUGGUGGACGCGUAUAUUCCAACAAUUAAUAUCAGAGCUUGGGCUCUCUAUCUGGCUAACACCAAUAGAGAGGUUCCUGUAAGGAAUGACGACACCACUGAACCUGCAAAGAAGUCAGUCCCUUAUAAGGCCACCUUUUUUUUAUGGUCAGUUCUAUAGAUGGUGGAGGAUUCGAAUGAGUGACUAUCUCAUGGCAGAGGACAUUGAGGUAUGUAGUGUCAUAUGUAAAGGUCCUUAUGUGCCAACUAUGGAGGUUAAAGAUGGAGAGGUCACAAGAGUCAUUCCCAAAACUCGACAAUAAUAUAAUGACUCUGACAGAAAAUUAGUCCAGAAAAAUCACAAAGCCAGGAAACUGCUAAUGUGUGGCAUUGGAGUAAAUGAAUACGAUCUGAUCUCAUCUUGUGAAUCAGCCAAGGGAAUCUGGGAUAUGUUGAGAACAACGUAUGAGGGUACUGAGGAGACAAGAAAAUCUAAGCUAGAUCUCUUCACUACUCAGUUUGAAAGUUUCACCAUAAAAGAAGGUGAAUCCAUUCAUGAAAUACGUACCAGAUUCUCCACCAUUACAGAUGAGCUUAUGUUCCUUGAAAGACCAGUCCCUGUGAGUAAGAAAGUCUCUAAGAUACUGGAAAUUCUUCCCAGAUCUUGGACAAAUGAUUUUGUGACUGGUGAUGAGACAAGGGAACCUGAAGUAGUGACAAUGUAUGCACUAUUUGAGCAUCUUCAAGUUCAUGAGAUGCACAGAAAAAAGGAGGGUCGCAUUCUCAAGGGCGAAGACAAGAGGACAGAUUUGAUUGAUGAUGUUGAUCAGAAGAGAGAUGCAAAAAGGGAUGAAUCACUUGCUUCCAAGGUGUCACAAAGUGAAACCCCUGAAAUAGAUGAGAACAUAGGUUAUUUCACUCAAAGAUUUCAAAAAUUCGUGAGAGAAAGUGGGGUUUCAUGAAGAAAGAAAAUCAUGAUAGUGCUACAAGCUCUAGUGACAUGUGUUACAAGUGUGAUCAACCAAGUCACUCCAUUAGAGACUAUCCUAUGCAUAAAGCUGACCCCAAGGAAUAUGUCAAGACUGGAGAAGGUAAAGACAAAGAGGGGACCAGGUCUGUGACAAGUCAAGCAGAAGAGAAGAUGUUUAUCGGGCGGUGAAGAAGGAUCUAACUUCAUGGGAAAAUUCUUCAAGUGAUUCAGAUGAUUCAGAACACUCUGAUGAUGCUUUCAUGGCAAACUCUAAUGAGAAAGAUGCUGAUGAAAAGGUAGAACUAUAAUAUUUCAAGCAAAACUUGAAUACCUUUUCUACUAGUAAAUUGAGAAAGGUAGUUGUUGUACUACCUGAUUUGAUAAGUUAGCUAACAACGGAGAAUGAUCUCAUGAACAAUACCCUAGAUAUCUCUCAAGAUGGAAAAAUUGCUUUAGUUGCCCAAAUAUCUGAUAUUGAAAAUCAACUGGUUGUUCUAGAAGCUGAAAAUCUAGAACUGAAGGAAAAGAUAAAAGGGGUGGGUGACUACUACAGUUUUUAAGGGAAAGAAUGAGGCCAGCAGCUUGCAGCUGGAUCUUGAAAGUAAGUUGCACACUUCUGAAAUGAAGAUGAAAUUGGCUCUAGAAAGAAAUCUUGUGCUGGAGAGGGACCUGGUCCGUAUAAAAAAGGAACUGAACAAAUCCCUCAAAUUGACUAAUUCAUCUAGGAUUCUUACAAAUCUAAUUGGUCAAGGCAACAACAGUAGAAGAGGGUUGCGUUGUGAUAAGAUAGAUCCCCCAUACAAUCCUAACAGCAAAAUGGUUACUGAUGCUGAUAAUUUGUUAUGUGUGCAUUGUGGUCGAGAUGGACAUCUUAAGAAAGAUUGUCAUGUUUUGAAAAAAUAUUAAAGAAGUUCCUCUAACUAUUCCAAACAGAGGAACAAAUAGAAGAAGGGACCUGGUCUUGCUUCUGGUCCUAAGUUGAAGAAAAUCAGUCUGCCUUACUGGACAAAGAAUUCUCUUAUCACUCAUUUAUCUUCUUGUUGGGAACUCCAUCUCAAAUAGGUUCCCAAGGCUAACAAGUGAUAUGGUAUUCAAGUGAGAGGAAGUAGCAGCAGUCAGUGUUGGUUCAUGAAUAGUUGAUGCUCAAAGUACGUGACUGGGAAAUUGAAAACUUUCUCUCUCUCAAGGCACUUCAAGGUGGAGGUGUCUCAUUUGGCGAUGGCAAGAAAAGGUAUAUUCUUGGUGUAGGCAUGUCUGGGAAGUCUAUGGAACACACCAUAGAGGAUGUGUACUAUGUUAAUGGUUGAAGUACAAUCUUUUAAGUGUUUCAUAGAUUUGUGAUGAAUGAAAAGAAGUUAAGUUCUUAUCAAAAAAUGUGUUGUCACAAACAUGCUCUCUCGGGUGAUAAUCUUGACAGAAAAGAGAUGCAAGAACAUCUAUAUUGCUGAUCUGAAUACUGCUCGUAGAGAAAGUCUCACUUGUCUUAGUGCUCAAAGUGAGAAUGUUGAGGUAUGACAUGAAAUACGUGCUCAUGUGAGUGCUUCUCUACUGCACAAACUUGUGUAAAGGGACGUGGUCCGUGGUCUGCCCAAAAUAAAAUUUGCUGAUGACAAAGUUUGUGAUGCUUGUGUUAAAGAGAAGCAGAUUACACCAUCCUUCAAGUGGAAUAAGCAGGUUGUUAAUCUUCCUAAGAACUUUUGGCUGAAAUAGUGAAUAGUACAUAUUUUGUGACCAAAAUGAUGAUAUUGAGAAAUGUAAUCUCAAUGAUGUUAAAAGAGUAUUUGUGGGAUAUUCUUCCACCAGCAAGGCUUAUCCGGUGUAUAAAAAUGUGUGCAUUGAAAAAAUGUUCAUGUGAUUUUUUAUUAGUCUGGAAGAAUAGUGAAGUAAUUUGCAAAACAAAGAAGAUUCUGAGAUGGAAGAGAUGCUUCAGAUUCAGAGAGAUGGUCUAAACAAUGAGCUUGCUGAAGAAUAUCCUCUUCAUGAAUCCAACAAUCCCAAGGAAGCUGAUGUAAAUGAUGAACUUGAUGAGGGACCCGGUCCGAUAGACAAUACUGAACAAAAAUGAUGCAGUUCAAACUGAUAAUGUGAAUUUUGAAGGUGAAAAUGAAGAAGUUGAUCAAGCUCAGUUUGAAAGAAGCAAAGUAUGACACUCGACUCUCCGACCAGCUGACAGAUUUUCCAAGUUCCUCUUCAACGUUGGUUUCAAAAGAGGUAAAAUUGACAAAAUCCUCUUUUUAAAAUCAAAAGGAAGGGGGUUGCUUAUUAUUCAAGUAUAUAUUGAUGAUAUCAUCUUUGAAGCAACAUUUGAGGUGUUGUGUGAAGAGUCUGUUGCACUCAUGAAUAUUGAGUUUUGAAGUGAGCAUGAUGGAAGAAUUAAAUUCUUCAUAGAACUACAUAUCAAGAAAGUCUCUUAAGGUACCCUUGUUUGUCAAGAAAAGUUCAUCAAGGAGCUGCACAAGAGGCUUGAUAUACUUGAAGUCAAGACAGUGUUAAAAAGGGGUAAUGUCAUCAUGAAGCCUUGCACAAUUGAAGAUCAAGUGGCUGACAUCUUCACCAAAGCUCUAAGCAAGGACUAGCUUGUCAAGAACAAGGACCUGGUCCCAUCUUUUGAAUACCAAAAAUGACACUUUCUUUCACAUAAUACACCCUUUCACUUCCUUUAUACUCCAUAUUUCUUUUCAAAUCCCCUUCCAAAAUCAGAAAUUUUUAAAACCCUCUUUACUCCUCUCUAAAAAAAACACUUCAAAUGGUUAAACCCUUUGUUCUUACUGAAGAAUUUUCUGAUGAAGAUGUUUUUUAGUGUGAAGAGAGAACUAGGUCGAACAAGCAAGAAGAAGAAGGAGGAAAAGAUGAUGUUCAAAAGGGAAGAGGUUGAUAUUCUGAAAACUCAAAGUUUUCUGAAUAGGAGGGUGUCUGACCUUGAAAUAAAAAAAUAAAAAAACUGAAAAAAUUAUGAAAUGGUUCCUCAGUUAUUGAUCUAUUCAUCUUGGAGGCCUUGAGUAAGUUCGAUUAUACUAAUCUUUCUGUCAUGAGAAACUCAGGCUAGCGUUGGAAGCUAUGACAGUUGCUCUUGCUAACAGGGAUACUGAAAUGGUUUUCCUGAAGGCUCAGCGUCUAAAACAGCACAAUCAGAGAGACCAGGUUAUAAAAAAAACCGACAGCCCUGAAAGUUCAACAUGAAACCUGGGCAGCAAAGAAUGUGAACUUCACCAGAGGUAAGGGAUAUGCUCUACUAAUUAUAUUCUAUAAACUCCCGUGUCAGUCCUCCUCAUUUUCUAUCAAAACUUAGUGGGAAUUGUCUUGGUUCUCAUUCGUAAUUAUAUGUGCAAUGCUUUGAUUGCUGAUCUUUUAUUUUUGAAAUAAAAAAUGUCUUAUUUCUACUGACUUGUCUCAUUACUUUAUGCAUUUUUACUCAUGCUCAGUGUUGCCCAAGUGGCCAUGAAUUUUCUUGAACUGCAUUUCUGUCAACUUGGUUUACUGCUUUAACCCUUUUUUAUGAUGUCAAGAGGUGGAAAAUUCUUAAGGUAUGAGAUCAAUAAUGCUAGCUAUUUGAAGAAGACAUGGUCAUGCCGAUAGGGGGAAUAAAUGAUAGUUACUUGAAGAGGACAUGGUCAUGCCGACAGGGGAAGAAGUUGAACAAGUUUGUCAUCAUCAUAAAAGGAGAAAAUGCUAUUUUGAUGUUUUGGUGAUUUGACAAACUUCGGGGAUGAUGAAAAUAAAGGGACCAAUCCAAUUACCUGAAGAGUCAUGUUGAUAGGGGGAACUGGUGAAAGGGGGAAGAAGGUAAAUAUGUUUGUUAUCAUCAAAAAAGGGGGGAAAUCUAUUUUGGAGCUGAUGUUAAGUUUUGAUGAUUUAACAAACUUAGAUAUCUAACAAGGAAACAUAUCUUUGUUAUUGAGACAGACGACAGGGGAAAUGAAUGAAUAAACUCAGUGUCAGGAAUAUUUGUAUGUCAUCAUCAAAAAAGGGAAGAAAUGUUACAUUCUAGGUGUUUUGAUAAUCCUCACAAAUGCAGGGACCCGGUCCCUAGCAGAGUGCUCUCGUCCAGAUUCAAAUGGAGUACAACUGUAAAGUUGUCUUGUCGGUGGGUUGGUGAAGUCGUCAGCGUACUUCACCAAUAGAAACGGAUGAGGUUGUUUGUCCAAUGGACAAUAAUUCAUUUUGGUUGAUAUAAUCAAAAUGACAAACAACAAGAAGAUUCAUUCAUUCAAAAGAGGAAGAGAGUUACCAAGUCUUCUCAAGAACUCACAAAGAACAUUGCAAGGGACCUGGUCCCUGCAAGAAUGUGUAUGUGAAAAGGAUGACAAGACAGUUGUUAGAAAAGCUGCCACCUCUGAUGUGGUUGGUGCACGUCCUUUUAGAGAAGCAAACUCUCAGCCAAUAGGGUUGUCUUAAGGAGUUUGUGUUCAUUUUAUUUAGUCUAUUCUAUAAAAACACAAACUCAAGAUUUGGCAAACAAAAACUUUGAAUUUCUGAAAAUGCAUAGGCUUAAGAAGAGAAGGCCAUCUUCAACAAGAACUCUUAUAGCAAGGGACCUGACCAACUGAAGAUUUUCUUUAUGUACCUGUUGUUGUUCUUGAAUGUUUGUAUUAAGCUAAGCUUGUAGGAUUCGUUUCAUUCUUGUAAGAAAUGUUUCAAACUCUUGUGUGUAGUGACUAGUGAGGGUAAGAACAUUGUUAGAGUUAACUUUGUGUCUUACGGUAAAAGUCUAUAUUAAUCAAUGAGGAUUAGUAUAGUGGGAGAUGGAUGCAGUGCUUAGGCUCGAUAAGUAAUAGGCGUAGUACUUAGUGUAAAGAUUAAGUAAUAGGCGUAUUACUUAGUGUUAAGAUUAAUAGGCGUAUUGCUUAGGCUUGGUAAGAAAUGUUUCACUUUUGCUUGAGAAGAUUAGUGAAAACAGUUGAAAAUCCUGUGUGACAAGUCAUGGUUUUACUCCCUUGAGAAAGGAGGUUUCCAUGUAAAACUUUUGUGCUUGUUUUACGUUGUGCUAUUUAUUUUCUGCACUUUUAUUCUGUCGGGGGUACUGGUCCUGUGAUCACUGGUGGACGCGUAUAUUUCAACAUUUAAAAAUACUGAUAUGUAGUAAAAUCAUUUCAAGCUGGAUUUUUGGGCCUAGGGGUGUGAUUGACGCAUCCCUUGCAGGUUGAAGACGAUGAAGGUCGGUAUAAAGGCUUUGCUUUCCGCUAUAGCAGAGGAAACUAUAGCGGAAAAAUUAUCGAUAGUCUCUCUUUCUGGACAAAUCUUUUGUUAGGAUAUUUUAUGAUUUCUAACUUGAUAGUCGUGCAUUUGCAAAUUCAUAACUCAAAUGGUUUCCAAUCAGGAACAACCUUAUCUUUACAUAAGAUUUCCUGACAAAGUUAGUCGGGAACGAUUCAUGAAAUACCAUACUAUGGGAUUUUGUUACGUGAGGUCCUUUCGUAUGUGAGGUGUCGAGGAGAAGGCGCCAACUUUUUACCAACAAAUCCAGUAGUUUGGUUGUGGUCCCUUGGUUGAGGCUCCCCAGUCCGCCCUCUUAGGCUAGGUGAGGGAGUUCUUUGCUCUUAUCUCGAUGGUCCUUUGGGAUUCACCUCAACCUUUCUUUUGCAUUCGAAGGGUGCAGGUUCUGUGGAUGUUCAAAUGGUUAAUGGAGGUUCUAAGGGUGUCGAACGUUCCUAAUGAUGAGCUUGUGGCCAGGCUAAAGGAAAUGGAUAUGAAGUGGUUGUCGGACUCACUAGUCGACGAGGAGUAACGGGGUAAGGUAUAUUGGUCCACUACCAAGGGAAGUACUACUAGUGCCACUUCUCUCUAGAGGAAUGGAGGUGGCUGACACUGGUGGGCCUGAGGAUUCGGUCAUUAGGCAACCUUACUGAUGUAACUUAUCUCCGGGCCUAAUAGUCGUCUAUGCAUAUUAGAGGGACUCAAUUGAAUGUGGAGGGGGGGGGGUACAAAAAGUGUCAGAGUGGAAGGAUUUCUAUCAAGGCAGCAAGAAGGGCUCGUUCCUUCCUGAGUUGGUGUCCCUUCUUUGUAGAUGAGUUGGGGUACCCAAGAAUGAUACUGACCAGAUAGACGAGAUGGACCACCCGUUCAAUCCCCUACUGGUGAGGAAGCUGCUCACCCCGGAGCAGAAAAGUAAGAGGGUAGAUGGAGAUUGGAGUAGUCAUGUUGCAGUAGGUUCAAGUGAGAUUGUAGUGAAUAACAAAAAAAGGCGGGCAUUCCUUCAAUUAUUUUCAUGGACGAACUGACUUAUGGUCUGGAUGCAAGGGCAGCAGCUAUUAUUGUGAGAACUGUUACAAAAACGGUGGAUACUACGAGAACUGUUGUAUGCACAAUUCACAAACAAAGUAUUGAUAUUUUUGAAGAAUUUGAUGAGGUGAAACCCUGUGAACGAAAAUGUCUCUUAGAAUUACAACCCCUCUCUAUCUUAUAUGCUCUUUUAUGUUGUGGAUCAGCUACUUCUUAUAAAAAGAGGAGGACAACUAAUUCUCAAAAAAUUAUUGAAUAUUUUGAGGUACUCUAUGAAACCACUAAAGAACCACCUCCUUUUGUCCCUUGAACGAGUGAAAGACAAAAUACCAAUUCCAACAGUUCCUAAAAUUAAAGAGAAAUGCAAUCCAACCACAUGGAAUUGAGUUUGCUUAAUACAAUUCAUCAGCUUCUUAUCAACGAACAUAGUACUCUCAGUCAACAUGGGGACAGUUCAAAUACUGCUUAUGGAAAGAAUGGUGAGCUUCUUUCACUUGGCUGCAGCACUCAUGGUUGGAACAAUUUUCCGGAAAGUUGGCUGUAAAAGGUCUGCUUCCACUUUAUAGCUAACAGAUAGAAACUUUCAGAAAAAAAAACAACAACAUAAUCCCACAAGUGAGGUCUGGAGAGGGUAGAGUGUACGCAGACCUUACCCCUACCUCAUGGAAUUAGAGAGGCUGUUAGAAAGGCAACUAAUUUACAUCUUUAUAUUGUUUCUGCGGUACAGAGAAACUAGCAGUGAUUUAACGUCAAUCAUUGGGGCAAUGUACACUGCUGUUCUGUUUGUUGGAAUCAACAAUUAUUCAACUGUCAGGCAAUUGUAGCCGUUGGAAAAACCGUCUUUUAUCGAGAAAGAGCUGUUGCAUGUACUCAGCAUUGCCAUAUGAUAUGGCACAUGUAACUUUUAUUUAUAAAUUAUCUUCUAUUACCUUAUUGAAUUUCACAAAUUCAUUUAUUCGGAUUGCAGGUCAUUUCUAAAAUACCUUACAUUAUUAUCCAAACUACAUACUACACUCUUAUAGUGUACACAAUGGUUGGAUUUGAGUUGACAGCAACUAAAUUCUUCUGGUUCUAUUUGGUGACCUUCUUCUCCUUUCUAUAUUUUAUGUACUACGGAAUGAUGACUGUUGCUAUCACACCAAACCACCAUGUAGCUUCGAUCUUUGCUGCACUUUCUUCUCACUUUUCAAUCUCUUCUCAGGUUUCUUCAUCCCCGGACCAAGAAUUCCAAAGUGGUGGAUUGGGUAUUACUGGAUUUGCCUGGUGGCAUGGACUGUGAACGGGUGCAUUGUCUCACAGUAUGGUGAUGUCGAAGAUACCAUAAAAGUUCCAGGAAUGUCUAUUGACCCUAAGAUUAAGGACUACAUCAUAGACCAUUUUGGAUAUAAUCCAAACUUCAUGGGACUAGUUGCCACAGUGUUGGUCAGUUUUGCAGUCUUUUAUGCAUUUGUGUAUUCCUACAGCAUUAAGACACUGAACUUCCAGAGGAGGUAGAUAGAUCUUAAUAGUUACACUGGCUUGUAAUUUCUAUCAUAAGUCACCGUUAUCUCAUAGUAGAGUAUGGUAAUUGUUACAUAUUAUGCUAAACUCAUAGGAUGUAAAGAGCGACCAAUAAGGUGUCCACCUCUAUAAAGAUGCAUUGCAUUUGAAAGUUCUGUAAAUAACUAUUUAUGUUGCAUAUAUAUAUACUCGU